rnacentral:rRNA from 1 species
GAUGAACGCUAGCGGCAGGCCUAAUACAUGCAAGUCGAACGGUAGAUCGGGUAGCAAUACUUGAUUGAGAGUGACGUAAGGGUGCGUAACACGUAUGCAAUCUACCCUCAACAGGAGUAUAGCUCGGGGAAACUCGGAUUAACACUCCAUAACAUUACGAUGUGGCAUCACAUUGUGAUUAAAACUCCGGUGGUUGAGGAUGAGCAUGCGUCUGAUUAGUUAGUUGGAGGUGUAACGGACCCCCAAGACGAUGAUCAGUAGGGGAACUGAGAGGUUGAUCCCCCCACACUGGCACUGAGAUACGGGCCAGACUCCUACGGGAGCAGCAGUAGGGAAUAUUGGUCAAUGGGUGAGAGCCUGAACCAGCCAUGCCGCGUGCAGGAAGACGGCCUUCUGGGUUGUAAACUGCUUUUANCUGGGGAUAAAAGCCCAUGCGUGGGACAUUGAAGGUACCAGAUGAAUAAGCACCGGCUAACUACGUGCCAG